AAAAAAAAAGUGUAACUCUAAGUUAUAAGAACUGCAACCAAAAGCAAAAGGCUGACAAUAACUGGCUCACUUUAAGAGAAUGGUUUUGAGUCUUCUUCAUUAAUAUACUUUGGAGACCCACAGUUAUAACUUUAAUGCCCAAAUUUCAAUAGUAUCCAAAAUAAUCUCUGAGCUAGCCUUAGGAUGUUUCUUAGCUAAGCGUUAUUAGUUUGGCUGGCUCACUCUUGGACAGAAAAAAAACAUAUUUAUGGUACUCCAAAUGUAGAAAAACCCAUGGCUUUUAUUUAAUACAUUUACAGUUUCUUGAGAUUACAAAACAUUUCACAGUUUCUAUCUGUAUGUAUAUUUAAAUUUCCUCUAAAUAUCUGAAAUCACACCAUCAGAAUCUAAGUUAGAUGAGAGCAGGAACCCUGACUAUUUCACUCACGUGUGUAGAGCCAAUGUCCCGUCUCCAGAGUAAAGAUUGGAUGGAAUGCAGAAUAUUGAAAUGGAAGGCAGAAUAUUGAAAUGGAAUGCAGAAUAUUGAAAUGGAAUGUAGAAUAUUGAAUGAAUCAAUCAAAGACUUUAACACUUCCAGCUACAGGCAGCUCAUUAUGGCUCAAAGCAGCCAGGCCUCAGAGUUCUUUUUUACAAUGAUUGGACUGUCAUCUCUUCCCACUUGUUUGUUCCAGUUUUAGCUCGUCAGGUUGACUUAUUUGGAGGUUCAAGAUAAUUGACCACUAAGUCUGGUUCUGGAGAAGUUGGGUUUCCACAUGCCUUACAGUACAAGUGUGGCAAUUCAGGAGGUGAUCUAGAAGCAAGGUGUCCUUGCUCACGGAAGAAUGACAGCGGGAGAGAAGAUCGAAAUCACUGCCCAGGUUAAUAAAGCAAUAUGUGAGAUGACAGUCCAAGUUAGAAACCAGCCAAAGCUUGGAACGUGCUUCCUUGGGGAUUUCAUGUUCAUAUCAAUGACUGAUUUGGAAUUCGGAUUUGCCUUUGAAUGUUGGAGAGCAUGGAAUCAUGCAAGGAUCAGCAGACAGAUCCUGGGUGGUGAUCCGUGAUGUCCAGCUACACAAAAGAAAUGAAUGUCUUUUUUUCCCAAAAGAUGAUGUAUUACAAGAGUCACUACUAAAUCAGCAUCUACGUCAACCAAAUACAACCUCUAAAAGAAAAACAAAUAGGAUGAUAUUAAUCCUGGAGAGUUUUAUUUUGUUUAUAAUUUGGGAUAAUUAAGCUUUGAAGUUUCAUGUUUACUCUUUGAGGAAAGUGUGUCUGGGCUUUACCUCAUUUCCUCCAACCCUCUCUCCCUCUCUGCUCCAGAGACCCAGUGUUCUUUCAGCAACUUGAAAUGUGUUUUCUCUUCCACAGAGAAUAGCAAAUGCUAUUUCUACAAAUGGGAUUCUACCUCUCCCUCUCCCUCUCUUCCAGUCUCAUGUUCUGUUUCAUUUCCUCAGGGACUGCUGCUUUACGACUCCAUGGACUGGGUUGCACCCCCCAUUGCUCCCUCUGCCUUCUACUCUACUUUCCCAGUAUUCAAGACACUCAGAAUCCUCUUUAAUGCCUGUCUUUUUCUGAUUAUAAGCAACAUAAGAACCUGCCACACUGGUUUUAUUCACCAAUGGAUCUCUAGUGCCUUAUUACACAAUAAAUACUUUUUGACUAAGUAUUGUUUGAGGAAAAUGUUAUUUCCGGCACAGAGAAAAUAAUAGCAGAGGCAU
rnacentral:lncRNA from 1 species